rnacentral:rRNA from 1 species
CAAAAACAUAGCCCUAGUAAGAAUCUAAGGUGUGACCUGCCCAGUGGUUUCAGAAUAUAAAAGAAAAAAUCUUUUAAAUGAAAUUAAAAGGACGCGGUAACCUUGACCGUGAUAAUGUAGCAUAAUCACUCGCCAUUUAAUUGAUGGAUAGUAUGAAUGGUUAAACGAAUACUCCACUGUCUUAGAAAGAACUACACAAAAUUGAAAUGAUAGUUAAGAUGCUAUCUAGAAUUGUAAGACGAAAAGACCCUAUAGAGCUUAACUAUAAACUCCUCACUAAAAGUUUAAUAAACCAUUAAAAAUAUGUGGAGUUUGGUAGUUUAGUUGGGGCGACUAUUUUCUAUAAUUAACGAAAAUAAGCAAUAUUAAUAUUAAAUUUAUUGUAUAACCAAAAAGUUUAACAAUUACUAAAGUAGGCUAUAAUGACCCGUUACAUUUUAGUAAAAAAAUUAACGAUCAAUUGAUAAAAGCUACCUUAGGGAUAACAGGAUAAUUUCAUUUUAGAGUCCUAAUCGAAGAUGAAGUUUGUCACCUC